rnacentral:rRNA from 1 species
UUACCGUAGGUGAACCUGCGGUAGGAUCAUUGACGUGAGAAAGUCGUGGAGCUCUACGUUCGCGGUCGGUGAGCCCGUGGCAAGCAGCCCAAGGGCUGCACGCGAGGGGGACAUACGAGGGCCGCUCUUUCCUUCCCCGGGUCACCACCCGGUCCCGCGGGAGGGAGGCGAUAAGAGACGGGAUGCGCUAGGGUGCGAGUGGCACCAAGGAUGCGACGAACGUCCGCCGCGGCGGUCAAACGGGGUUGGUGACCCCAACCACGACUCUCGACAAUGGAUAUCUCGGCUCUCGUUUCGAUGAAGAACGUAGCGAAAUGCGACACUUUGUGUGAAUUGCAGAAUCCCGUGAAUCAUCGAAUCUUUGAACGCAAGUUGCGCCCGAGGCCCUAGGUCGAGGGCACGUCUGGCUGGGUGUGGUGAUGAAAGAUCCCACGGCGCGCCCUCCUCGCCGCGUGCGAGGGGGGCAGCGGAUGUGGCCGUCCGUGUCCUCCCGAGGUGCGGUCGGCUGAAAUGUUGCCGUCGUUCGUGGUUUUUGGCUUCUCCCCGAACGGAGCGAUGGAUGGUGGUGGCGGUCUGUGCGUUCCCUGCGCCUUGCGCGCACGAGGUACGUUGGCCCCCUCCCCGCCCUUCUCCUUCGGGGCGAUGCGGGACCCGUGCGAGCGGCGGGGGCGAUGUCCGUCCUGUGCGUCGCGCACGGGAGGGGUGGUGCUCCCUCUUCGCAGCGACCCCAGCUCAGGCGAGGGUACCCGCCGAGUUUAAGCAUAUAACUAAGCGGAGGAAGAGAAACUUACGAGGAUUCCCCUAGUAGCGGCGAGCGAACGGGGA